rnacentral:rRNA from 1 species
GCCAGCAGCCAUAUCACUCUGCAACUCACAACUGGGAACCCACUGAAGCUAAGCAGAUGUGAGCCUGGUCAGUACCUGGAUGGGAGACCUCCUGGGAAAAACUAAGGUUGCUGGUG